AUUGAACGCUGGCGGCAGGCCUAACACAUGCAAGUCGAGCGGAUGAAGGGAGCUUGCUCCUGGAUUCAGCGGCGGACGGGUGAGUAAUGCCUAGGAAUCUGCCUGGUAGUGGGGGAUAACGUCCGGAAACGGGCGCUAAUACCGCAUACGUCCUGAGGGAGAAAGUGGGGGAUCUUCGGACCUCACGCUAUCAGAUGAGCCUAGGUCGGAUUAGCUAGUUGGUGGGGUAAAGGCCUACCAAGGCGACGAUCCGUAACUGGUCUGAGAGGAUGAUCAGCCACACUGGAACUGAGACACGGUCCAGACUCCUACGGGAGGCAGCAGUGGGGAAUAUUGGACAAUGGGCGAAAGCCUGAUCCAGCCAUGCCGCGUGUGUGAAGAAGGUCUUCGGAUUGUAAAGCACUUUAAGUUGGGAGGAAGGGCAGUAAGUUAAUACCUUGCUGUUCUGACGUUACCAACAGAAUAAGCACCGGCUAACUUCGUG
rnacentral:rRNA from 1 species